GGCGCUUCAAGAUAGAAAAUAAUGACAACACGCUCAUGGAAACAGGUGACUACCCAGUUAUUGAAAACAUGAUCUAGCUUAAAGGGUACCCAAGGGAGGAGAGAAGACAUACUUUGAGAGCCCCUGGUGUAUCACUGCACCUCAGCAACGUAGACAGCAAAGCUUUGCUACACCAUCUCUCCUUCAUUGCAGAGUGGCUGAUGUCUAGAGAUGCCCUCCAUGUUACAUCAGAAGCCCAUGCAAAUGCUCUAGCCUUGAAUGACCUGUACCAGUGCCUUUCCCGUUCUCAACAUCAGCCACUCCUGCCUCAUCAUAGGCGAUGGGAUGUCCUAGAAAUUAUAAAUGGCUCUACAAACAAUAUCAUUUCUCCAAUUAACUACUCUUACACCUGCAGUGAAAACCUUGAUGGGCCAAAAGAUUGCAUGCAUGUUGAGUGGACAGAGGGAGGCUCAGGGGAGAAUACAAGGCACGUGUUGAUUUUCAGGAAAUCUGCAGGAGACCAUGAAGAGACAUGGGUAGAGGUCAUUUUUUUACCCUGGUCUGGGUUCAUCCAUGGUGCCAGCCAGCUGCACCUGCCCUCCCUAGCCGCUUUUUCUGCAGUGAGCACUGGGUGCUGAGACCCUAUGGUGGCCAGAAGAGAUGGGAUGCAUCCCAGAAUGCUAUUAAGCGGAGAGAUGGGCCUGCAGUUCUCUACUUGACAACAUGCAUCUGUACAAGGACUGGAUGACUUGGGAGGCCAAUGCAGACUCAUGCACAGCCCUGUUCAUAACUUCCCCUGAAAACUGGUUUCAGACAGUGUUUUAGAGUAUCAAUAACAUAUCUAGCACCAUUUGAAAUCAGUGUUCUUGGUGUAAGAAGGACACAAUUUAAAGCAGGAUGGAUGAAGGCAUACAGUAGGCCUACAGCCGUCUCAUAAUUUCUCACACAUUUGGCAUGGCGGGUAUUGUUAACAUAAUUAUUUGGCUGGAACACAUUACAAUAAAAACAUUGCAUUCCGUGUCCAA